GCAAGUCGAGGGGUAACAUAGUUCUUGCACAGAUGACGACCGGCGCACGGGUGCGUAACUCGUAUAGAAUCUACCUUAUACUAGGGAAUAGCCUUUGUAAACGAAGAUUAAUUCCCUAUAGUAUAUUGUUUUGGAAUCAAGACAAUAUUAAAGGUUACGGUAUAAGAUGACUAUGCGUUCUAUUAGCUAGAUGGUGUGGUAACGGCACACCAUGGCAACGAUAGAUAGGGGCCCUGAGAGGGGGAUC
rnacentral:rRNA from 1 species